rnacentral:rRNA from 1 species
UACGUAGGGCGCAAGCGUUGUCCGGAAUUAUUGGGCGUAAAGAGCUCGUAGGCGGUUUGUCGCGUCUGCUGUGAAAACCUAAGGCUCAACCUUGGGCUUGCAGUGGGUACGGGCAGACUAGAGUGCGGUAGGGGUGACUGGAAUUCCUGGUGUAGCGGUGGAAUGCGCAGAUAUCAGGAGGAACACCAAUGGCGAAGGCAGAUCUCUGGGCCGUAACUGGACGCUGGAGGAGCGAAAGCCAUGGGGAGCGAACAGG